AGCUUUUUGAAUCCGUGCUGAGAUUUCGUCAGACACCCACCCAUUAAUCUGAUCAGACUUCCAAGAUGAGUGAAGUU
rfam:Schistosoma curassoni strain Dakar, Senegal genome assembly, scaffold: SCTD_contig0018220